CCAUAUUGGAGAUCUCUCCGGCGACUCCAGGUUCGGCGACCCCAGGUGCGGCGACUCGAGGUCCGACGACUCCAGAUCCGAUAAUGUCCCUUCAUUUUUACAGAUCUUCAAAUUUGGGUGUGUUUUGGUAUUGUGACUGUUUUAUUCUUCUGAAUUAUGAAGGAAACUGACUUCUUCUCGAUGAGGACUAGUAAUGUCUCUUUAUUUAUGCUAUUACAUUAUAAAUAAUUUCAAUGUGAAGUAAAAAUAAAUUAACUGCCUGCAAAAUAAAUUUGGAGUAAAAUCAAUUAAGUCUCGGAAUGUUUACAGGCUUCCAUAUUGUAGAAUGACUUCGUUUCUAUUGGGGCUUGUCUUCUUCAGGGGUUAAGGAUUUGGACGGGGUUGAAUAAUCCAGCUUUGUAAAUGCCUCCUAGUGGGAACUCUAGCGUUUAUCGGAGUUGAUUUUCAACAACCAGUUUUCUAUAUCAAAUGAUUAUCAUCAACUGUGAGAAAAAUAAUAAUAGACGGUAAUGUCCCUUCAUUUGAAGCAAAAUGUCGUCAAAUUUGCUUAAUAAACAGGUAUUGUGACGAUGGUAGCAAGUAUAAUUUAAGUAGUAAAAGAUUUAUUUAUAGCAAGUAUGAGUAACUCUUAUUUGCAAAUGGGAUAACAGAGAUCACUCGUCAGACCUUAGAAGAAAACAGAAAACUUGAUAUAUAUUCUCUGAUGAACACACAUCUAAGGAUUACAUUACAUUUCAUGCAUUUGCUAGUAGCAGUAGAUGGAAAUUGCAUUACCAGUGGUGGAUCCACGAUUUGAACUCAUUGGGCAUCUAAUUUAAUUUCGGAUUUAUAUUUUUUAUGAUGUUAUUUUUUUUUUUUUUUUUUUUUGCCAAUUCGAACAUUAUUAUGAUGUGAUUUUUUUUUUUCUUAUAUUAGAAUUCUUCAAUGGCCGGAAGAAAUAAGGGGAUAUGUCAUUCAUGUAGACGGGCAGGAUACAUGUUGCCAGAUUGCCCCGGAAAGAGAAGAUGUCCAAACUGUGGCCAAGGCUAUGUUAAAUGGAUGGAGGUGGAAAAGCAAAGCGAUAACAAAGGGCGUUUGUUCCAUUGUUGUACCCGUGAUAUCUGUCGAUUUUUCGAUUGGAAUAAAUCUCCUCCUGCCGCAGUAUAUCCCUUGCAAGGUGAAGGUCAAUCGAGCGGCGCCUCCAAUGGUAGUGAAAUCGUUGAUGAUUUGUCACGUAUGUUGGAAACGUGUGCUAACAUAGCCAAGAAAAAAGACAUUGAGAUCUCUCUCAACAUCAUAACAAUUCAUAAGGGAAAACGGGAUUCGGAAGAUGUUCUAUGAACUUGGAUUUAAUGGGAUGGUUUAGGAAUAUUUAAUCUUCGGUGUGAUGCGUUAACUAUUGAUUUUGUAAAAAUUUGAAGACAACUUGGAUCCAUGAAUUUCAGUCGGUUUUAAAUUUCCUUUUAUGAGCAUUAUGUUUAGGACAUGUUUUACUAAUGUGCUGUUGAGUUUAAAUGUUAAUGUGAAUGGAGUGUGUUUGGUGCUAUACAUGUUUGGUGUUAAACAUGAAUCAAGUUAUAGUUUAAACAAUCACUUUUAUAUCCUCUUAAAAUCAAUAAUUUUCACCUGUCUAUUUGCCUAUUUAUCCAUUCUGUCAACAUGUAGUAGUAAUUCCGUGUAUGUUACUUCCUAGAAUCGAUGGAAGAAUAAUAGUCAGUUGUAUUUGGAUACAAGUUUCUAAGGCUUGUCUUAAUUCUUG
rnacentral:lncRNA from 1 species